rnacentral:lncRNA from 10 species
UCAAAAAAAAAAAAAAGCAAAGGACCCAGAACACAGUCAUAAACCAACACAGUUACGCACACAUUAUGAUUUUCCCACCCACGGACUUGAGGAGCGGGGUGCUGUUCAGCCCCCAAUUUGCAUAUUCUCCCCACCGCCAUGAGAGCUGGCAUUGUGUUGGUUACAGACCGGCUCACUCUGCCUGGCAUCCAGCUACGCCCGAGUUCUAUUUCCCGAGUCUUGGUAUUUUAUGAGACCAUGCCAGGGAAGAGCGAGAGGUAGAGUCCAGGAGUGAAGAAGAAAAGAGGUGGUCUCAGUCCCCUGAGGGGCCAGGACGUCAGAUGCAGACCAUGAAGGUCACGAGGAUUCAGGGAAGAGGAACCCCAGGUCAGCAGGCGCCUUGGAGCUAGGCAGACCCAGGCUCCAAUCCUGGUUCCCAGGCACCUAGAAGCUGUGCAGCCUUGGGCAAGUCACCACACCUCUCUGAGCCUCAGCUCCAAUGUCCAGAGUCGAGCAGGAGACACCAAGCCCAAGAGGCAGGAUGAUACAAGGAGCUUUUCGGAAUUCGCUCUUUUCAGAACUCUUGGUAUAGAUCAGCCCAGUCAGAGGAGCUGGUGAAAUUUAUAGGAACUGUAAGAAUCAUUGCAGCAGUGACUACCCUCCGCUUCUGGAAAAUAAAGCCCUUGCAGUAAACACUGUUCAUUCUCUGAAGGGUAGACCAGAGCACUUACGGGAGCGAGAUGCAAAUAAGACUCAAGGUCAGGGCAGGAGAAUCCUGGGUGAGAAACCUCAGCUGAGCCCUUCUAACAUCCCAAGCCUUUGCAAGGCUCUGAAGGGCAAAAAUUCCAGGUGAGCUGGAAGCUCCCAGGCUGACGUCCCUCGUGGUGCCAGUUGGAUAAAGUUCAAGCUCCUUGGCUCUGCACCAGGCCCAUCACAAGAUGCUCCUCCCUACUCAUGUCCUGCUUCAGCGAGAAAGGACAGAGUGCUGUUCCCUGAUAAGCCCUACAGUUGCCCACUGCUGUGAACUUCCUGCAUGGACUGCCCUUCCUUGCCUCCAACUGCUGGGGGCUCCUACUCUCUACAGCCCAGGGAGCACACUCUCCUUACUCAUAACUCUCUGAGACCACUUAGCACCCUGGACAGCAGGGGCUUGUGCCAGCUUUGCCCAUCCCCACUCUAAGACUGAGGGAGCGCUGGGACUGUGGGAGGGCUGGGACUGAGGAAGGGUUGGGACUGAGGGAGGGCUGGGACUGAGGGAGGGCUGGGACUGUGGGAGGGCUGGGACUGAGGGGGGUGCCAGGACUGAGAAAGGGCUGGGACUGAGGGGGGUGCUGGGACUGAGAAAGGGCUGGGACUGAGGCAGGGCUGGCCUCUGAGGGAGUGCCGGGACCACACUAGGCUUACCUCCUUCUUCCCAGGGCCAAAGCUGGCACAAUGUGUUUAAUGAAUUUAUAAAGAAAGAGAGGAGAAAAAAAAAGAGAGAAGAGAGAGGGAGGGAGAGAGGUAGCAAGGGAAAGAAAGGGAGAGAGUGAGGUAGGGAGGGAGGGAGGGAGGGGAAGGGAGGAAAGGAAAGGAGGAAGGACAGAUCCUAGAAUCCAGAUAAUAUAAAGGUACCAAGAUGCCAAGUGUCAAUGUCUUCAUCUACAAAAAUGGAAAAACAGAGCUCGCCUCUUCGAGUUGUUACAGACUAAAUGCAAUAGUGAAUGAGAGCUCCUAGCACACAGGAAGCCCACCUGCCAGCCCUCCCUUCUUCUUCCCCUCUUUCACAGAACAGAGCAGAUCACAAAUGACACUGCAAGGUGAUACCUGCUGUGGAGAAAAAUGAGGCAGGGAAAGAGGGGCUGAAGAGUGGGAGAGGAGGGAAUGUUAUGAUUUUAAAUAGGGCUGGCUGUCAGGGGAAGUCCCUGUGAAAAGGUAACAUUUGAGCAAAGAGAUGAGGGCCUCAGCCAAGAGGACCUCCAGGAGGAAGGCAUCCCAGGGGGAGGGCAUGGCCAGGGCAAAGGACUGGAGGUGGGGGUAUUGUUAUAAAAUGCUGCAUGGGGCCAGGUGCGGUGGCUCACACCUACAAUCCCAACACUGUGGGAGGCCGAGGCAGGUGGAUCACCUGAGGUUGAGAGUUUGAUACCAGCCUGGCCAACAUGGUGAAACCCUAUCUCUACCAAAAGUACAAAAAUGAGCCAGGCAUGGUGGCACACGUCUGUCAUCCCAGCUACUCAGGAGGCUGAGGCAGGAGAAUCACUUGAACCUGGGAGGUGGAAGUUGCAGUGAGCCAAGACUGCACCACUGCACUCCAGCCAGGGUGACAGAAUAAGACUCUGUCUAAAAUAAAAUAAAAUAAAAUAAAAUAAAAUAAAAUAAAAUAAAAUAAAAUAAAAUAGUAAAAAAUAAAAUAAAAUGCUGCAUGGCACAGACAGCAUGUUUGACGUUUGGAUCAAGGAGCAAGGAAGGGGGUGGAGCAUCCCUCACCCUCCCUCCCUCUCUCAUUUCCCUAAAUCAUAUUGCCCUCAUCUGCUCUUAAACCUGGAGCUUCCCAAACACACACAUGGAUUAGGCACACAAAGUGUUAGGUUUGCUCCAACCCUGCAGGAUGGAAGAUAAGUCAAAGCUCCAGGGGAGAUGAAAGGGGCAGGAGACCAGGGCUGAGGUCUGCCCAGCUCAACUAGCUCCUGGGUUCCCAAACAGUCCCCACUGUACUCUGCUCUCCUCUAUUUUGUUUUUAAACACUGAUUGGGCACUGACUGUCUACAUGCAAGAUCCUUUGGUGAGUGCAUUAAUAAAUAUGAUCUCCAAAUGUGAACACCAAGGGCUUCAAAUAUUUUG